UGCCAUGGAANUCAGAAGCAUUAUAAGCUA
rnacentral:piRNA from 1 species